UAUGUGAUCGUCUCUCGCAUAUCAAUAAGCGGAGGAAAAGAAACUAACAAGGAUUCCCCUAGUAACGGCGAGUGAAGCGGGAAGAGCUCAAAUUUGAAAUCUUAAAGGGUUUCCCUUUACGAAUUGUAGUUUAAAGAAGUGUUUUCUGUUGAGGUUUUGGUAAAAGUUCCUUGGAAUAGGACAUCAUAGAGGGUGAGAAUCCCGUAUUUGACCUUUACUUUCAACUUUGUGAUACACUUUCAAAGAGUCGGAUUGUUUGGGAAUGCAGUCCAAAAUGGGUGGUAAAUUUCAUCUAAAGCUAAAUAUUGGCGAGAGACCGAUAGCGAACAAGUACCGUGAGGGAAAGAUGAAAAGAACUUUGAAAAGAGAGUUAAACAGUACGUGAAAUUGUCAAAAGGGAAGCGUUUGACACCAGUGUUGUUUUUCUGAAAAUCAAUUAAAGAACUGUUUAUGCUAAGUUGUUUAGACUUUAUCAGCUAACUGUUUAGUUUUGAGCUUUUCUUUAAUGCACUUUUCAGUUAACAAGUCAACAUCAAUUUCUUUUGCUGUAAAAAAGCUUGAGGAAGGUGGCUUGAGAUUCGUCUUAAGUGUUUAUAGCCUCUUGCCUAUGCAGUCGGAGAGAUUGAGGUCUGCAGCGUAGAUCCUUCGGGGCUAAAUGCAUUUGUGCUAAGUUAUAGCAUUUUAUAGACAACUUGUUAACUAUGAUUUGUCUUGUAGCUUACUCGCUUAUGUUAUUUUACCUACGCUUAGGAUGUUGACUGAUAUGUAGUCGUA
rnacentral:rRNA from 1 species